CAAUAGCGUAUAUUAAAGUUGUUGCAGUUAAAAAGCUCGUAGUUGGAUUUCUGUUCUUGGGAUCUGGUCCGCCUCACGGUGAGCACUGGAUAACUGGGGACAUCCUCUCGAAGGCGGCAGGUGCACUUGAUUGUGCGUUUGUUGAAUUCGGGACCUUUACUUUGAAAAAAUUAGAGUGUUCAAAGCAGGCGUCGGCUUGAAUACAUUAGCAUGGAAUAAUGGAAUAGGACUUUGGUUCUAUUUUGUUGGUUUCUAGGACCGAAGUAAUGAUUAAUAGGGGCAGUUGGGGGCAUUAGUAUUUAAUUGUCAGAGGUGAAAUUCUUGGAUUUAUGAAAGACUAACUACUGCGAAAGCAUUUGCCAAGGAUGUUUUCAUUAA
rnacentral:rRNA from 1 species